UGGGGAAUAUUGCACAAUGGGCGAAAGCCUGAUGCAGCAACGCCGCGUGCGGGAAGAAGGCCCUAGGGUUGUAAACCGCUUUCAGCAGGGAAGAAAAUGACGGUACCUGCAGAAGAAGGUGCGGCCAACUACGUGCCAGCAGCCGCGGUGACACGUAGGCACCAAGCGUUGUCCGGAUUUAUUGGGCGUAAAGAGCUCGUAGGCGGUUCAGUAAGUCGGGUGUGAAAACUCUGGGCUCAACCCAGAGAGGCCACCCGAUACUGCUGUGACUUGAGUACGGUAGGGGAGCGGGGAAUUCCUGGUGUAGCGGUGAAAUGCGCAGAUAUCAGGAGGAACACCAGUGGCGAAGGCGCCGCUCUGGGCCGUAACUGACGCUGAGGAGCGAAAGCGUGGGUAGCAAACAGGAUUAGAUACCCUGGUAGUCCACGCCGUAAACGUUGGGCACUAGGUGUGGGUCUCAACCAACGAGAUCCGCGCCGUCGCUAACGCAUUAAGUGCCCCG
rnacentral:rRNA from 1 species